rnacentral:rRNA from 1 species
AACGAACGCUGGCGGCAGGCCUAACACAUGCAAGUCGAACGCCCCGCCAGGGGAGUGGCAGCCGGGUGAGUAACACGUGGGAACCUUCCCUAUAGUACGGAAUAGCCCAGGGAAACUUGGAGUAAUACCGUAUACGCCCGAAAGGGGAAAGAAUUUCGCUAUAGGAUGGGCCCGCGUAGGAUUAGCUAGUUGGUGAGGUAAUGGCUCACCAAGGCGACGAUCCUUAGCUGGUUUGAGAGAACGACCAGCCACACUGGGACUGAGACACGGCCCAGACUCCUACGGGAGGCAGCAGUGGGGAAUAUUGGACAAUGGGCGCAAGCCUGAUCCAGCCAUGCCGCGUGAGUGAUGAAGGCCUUAGGGUUGUAAAGCUCUUUUGGCGGGGACGAUAAUGACGGUACCCGCAGAAUAAGUCCCGGCUAACUUCGUG